UCCAAGCCCUGAUAGUAGUGAAAAUCUUUUUGAAAUCCUUUUCUUAUUUUUGUUAAAAGGACAAAACGACCUUAGGAAGUUCUUGUGCUUAUUAGAAAAAAUACAAAAUGAUUUCAAAAAAUUGUAACGAAUAGCAGGAAAUGGC
rnacentral:sRNA from 1 species